UACGUAGGGGGCAAGCGUUGUCCGGAAUCAUUGGGCGUAAAGCGCGUGUAGGCGGCUCGGUAAGUCCGCUCUGAAAGCCCGGGGCUCAACCCCGGGAGGCGGGUGGAUACUGCUGAGCUCGAGUCCGGAAGAGGCGAGUGGAAUUCCUGGUGUAGCGGUGAAAUGCGCAGAUAUCAGGAGGAACACCGAUGGCGAAGGCAGCUCGCUGGGACGGUACUGACGCUGAGGAGCGAAAGCGUGGGGAGCGAACAGG
rnacentral:rRNA from 1 species